AUUGAACGCUGGCGGCAGGCCUAACACAUGCAAGUCGAGCGAGCGGCGGACGGGUGAGUAAUGUAUGGGAAUCUGCCUGAUGGCGGGGGAUAACUACUGGAAACGGUAGCUAAUACCGCAUACCAUCAGCUGAACCCAUAUGGGAUUAGCUAGUAGGUAAGGUAACGGCUUACCUAGGCGACGAUCCCUAGCUGGUCUGAGAGGUUGAUCAGCCACAAUGGAACUGAGACACGGCCCAGACUCCUACGGGAGGCAGCAGGAGGGAAUAUUGCACAAUGGGCGCAAGCCUGACGCAGCCAUGCCGCGUGUAUGAUGAAGGCCUUCGGGUUGUAAAGUACUGUAAGUCGGGAGGUGUUACCGAAAGAGGAAGCCCCGGCUAACUCCGUGCCAGCAGCCGCGGUAAUAC
rnacentral:rRNA from 1 species